AGGCACGGACAGGGGCGUCCGCGGGCGACCGCGGGCUGAGAAGCACCCUUCGAACCUGAACCAGAUCAUGCUGGCGUAGGGAGUCCGCGAUGCGUGCCC
rnacentral:ncRNA from 2 species